GACGAACGCUGGCGGCGUGCUUAACACAUGCAAGUCGAGCGGUAAGGCCCUUUCGGGGGUACGACGAGCGGCGAACGGGUGAGUAACACGUGGGUGACCUGCCCUCCAGCUCUGGGAGUAAGCCCGGGAAACCUGGGCCGUAAUACCGGAUAUGACUUCAUGACGCAUGUUGUGGAGUGGAAAGCCUUGUGCGGCUGAGGAUGGGCCCGCGGCCGUA
rnacentral:rRNA from 1 species